rnacentral:rRNA from 1 species
AGAAUCAACGCUGGCGGCGUGCCUAACACAUGCAAGUCGAACAAGAAAGGGACUUCGGUCCUGAGUACAGUGGCGCACGGGUGAGUAACACGUGACUAACCUACCCUCGAGUGGGGAAUAACUUCGGGAAACCGAGGCUAAUACCGCAUAAUACCCACGGGUCAAAGGAUCGCUUGAGGAGGGGGUCGCGGCCGAUUAGCUAGUUGGCGGGGUAAUGGCCCACCAAGGCAGUGAUCGGUAUCCGGCCUGGAGGGACACACUGGAACUGAAACACGGUCCAGACUCCUACGGGAGGCAGCAGUGGGGAAUUUUGCGCAAUGGGGGAAACCCUGACGCAGCAACGCUGGAGGGUCUCUUGGG